rnacentral:tRNA from 1 species
UUAGGGGUAGUUUAUAUAGAAUUAUAGCUUUGGGAGCUAUGGGACGAUUUUUUCGCUCUUAAA